rnacentral:rRNA from 1 species
GCCCUUAGAGUUUGAUCCUGGCUCAGGACGAACGCUGGCGGCGUGCUUAACACAUGCAAGUCGAACGGUCUAUAAGGGCUUGCCCUUAUAGGUAGUGGCGAACGGGUGCGUAACACGUGAGUAACCUGCCCCAUAGUUUGGAAUAACACCGGGAAACCGAUGCUAAUACCAAAUAUGCUCGCACUAGCACAAGCUAGAGCAAGGAAAGAUUUAUCGCUUUGGGAGAGGCUCGCGGCCUAUCAGCUUGUUGGUGAGGUAACGGCUCACCAAGGCUUCGACGGGUAGCUGGUCUGAGAGGACGAUCAGCCACACUGGGACUGAGACACGGCCCAGACUCCUACGGGAGGCAGCAGUGGGGAAUAUUGCGCAAUGGGCGAAAGCCUGACGCAGCAACGCCGCGUGGAGGAUGAAGGCUCUAGGGUCGUAAACUCCUUUCAGCAGGAAAGAAAAUGACGGUACCUGCAGAAGAAGCUCCGGCCAACUACGUGCCAGCAGCCGCGGUAAUACGUAGGGAGCAAGCGUUGUCCGGAUUUAUUGGGCGUAAAGAGCUCGUAGGCGGCUUAGAUAGUCGGAUGUUAAACCCCUAGGCUUAACCUAGGGCAGCCAUUCGAUACUACUAUGGCUAGAGUUCGGUAGGGGAUUGUGGAAUUCCCGGUGUAGCGGUGAAAUGCGCAGAUAUCGGGAGGAACACCAAUGGCGAAGGCAGCAAUCUGGGCCGAUACUGACGCUGAGGAGCGAAAGCGUGGGGGGCAAACAGGAUUAGAUACCCUGGUAGUCCACGCCCUAAACGUUGGGCACUAGGUGUGGGACCUACUUCGACGGGUUCCGUGCCGUAGCUAACGCAUUAAGUGCCCCGCCUGGGGAGUACGGCCGCAAGGCUAAAACUCAAAUGAAUUGACGGGGAAGGGC